rnacentral:rRNA from 1 species
CAGUAGGAUCUCGUAGGUGACCUGCGGAGGGAUCAUU